UGGAUCAGUGUAUAUGUGGAGUGUACACAAUCCCUUGAUGGAACUAGGCCGUUUUAAGUACUUGGUCAGCAAUAUCAAACUAAUGAUAAGACCUCAAGACUGGGCAUCCUCUACAACACUAAGCUCUCUAGUUUUAAUGAGCCUACAUUCAAUUGAUGUAUCCAAUUAAAAUUGGGUCAUCCGAUUUUAACCGAGCCAACAAUUUCUCAAAGCUCCACGAUUCUAUUCUUCUAUACUAUACACUAUGCUUUCUAAUUUUUAAGGCCUCACAAUUAAUUGAGUUAAUCAAUUUAGAAUUGGGUCAUCCGAUUUGGACUGGGUCAAUAAUUUCUCAAGCUCUCUCAUUCAAUUCUUUUUAUUCACCAUGUUCCAAAAAUUUGAAGCUCUUUCAUUCAAUUGAGCUUUUCAAUUUUGAUUUGGUUUACGAUUUUGACUGGGCCAACGAUUAUUCAAAUCAAUCAACAGCAACCGGCCUAUAAAAACAUAUCAAUCCCCCGCACCCUCCCACCACCUAGAGAAAAGAAGCGUCGCCAUGUGAUAUUGUAGCAUCAAUAUAAUGCAUGCAAUCAUCGACACAGAAAUUUCCACAGAUAAAUAUAAGUUGGUUAGCCAAUAACACGGAAUCACACCACAAAAGGCUGACCAAAUCACAUCAUUAUAAAUAAAAAUAAAACACACUCUAUCAUCUCCCCCACCCGUCACACUGAAUAUUCCAUCAGCUAUAAAAUAUAGGGGGUAUCAGUUUUUUAGAAAGACGAAUUUCUUUAACUUUGAUCAAGUUCAGAGCAAAAAUAUCGACAUCCAUAAUAUUAAACAAAAAAAGAUGGAAAUUCAUCUUGUGAUGAAUCUGAAAAUACCGAUUUGAUAUUACGGAUUUUGAUAUAUUUCUUUACAAAUUUGACCAAGCUUAAAAAGUUUGACUUUUAAAAAAAAUACACCUUACAUUUUGAAACAACGUAAUUAUUAAAAAAAACACAAACGGCGCAGCAAAGCGUGCACAACCCUUCUAGUAGCAUUUAUUUACAAAGCCAAUUGUGCUGCUAGUCAUAUGUGUCCUACAAUUCAGUUAUUUGUAGCGCGAUCAUCAGUAGUUCACCUUGUUUUAAAGCAACCCAGUCGUCAGUAUGAGUGUUAGUUCAAACAUAUCUGUCAAUGUACAGCCGUUUAUGCAUUUUAGCUAUGAUUUGCUGCCCAUGAAUUAAUCUACCGAGCGGUUUUUUUUCUUUUAUUUUUUAUUUUCGCUCAUGCAACUAGCUAGCAGGGAGUGUUAGUUAAUAUAACUUUACAAAAUGCUUGAAUAUUUCAGUUUUCCACAUGAAUCUUUAUUACAUUGCUAAGGAUACUUGCCAUCAUGCAAAACAGCGUUGUUGUCCACUCUUUUCCGGGGCUGUACUUUUAUUGAUAAUUAUAUAUUUUGAAAGUAUAUUUUGGUAUUAUUAAAUAUUUAUUUUUGCUUUCAAAAUAUAUAUUGCUAUAGUCACCUGGUUUUGUAUGAGGAAUUCGUCGGCAACUAGUGCCAAGAAAUAGUCAGUUGUACUAAAAGCUGAACUUUAAAUGUUUUUUAUAAAAAAGAACAUUCAAUUCGUACAUAUUAUUUAAGAAUGCCUAAAUUGAUCCUAUGCAUGCAGUAAGAACACCUGUCGUGUCAUAUUUAUUAAGUAUGUAGAUGUAGAUUAUAGGAUUAUUGGACAACUAAGUUUUCGGGAGAACUUACUCUGGAAAUACACAGUAUGAUCUUCAUAUGGUUAUACGAAGUGUGUAUAGCCCUUUUUACUAGUGAGUAAGGGUGCUCAAUCGAAUCAGAAUGCUUUAUGGUCGAACCCGGGCUACCGACGGGAGUUGAUUUUGAGAAAUCUUCGAUUAAACAAGGUGAUACAUGAGCACCCAUAAUCCUGACGGUGUCAUGGAGGGAACUCGAGGAAGAGAUUCAGAUCAGUCAUGGCUUCAUCAACUUCAGCAAGGGAGUCAGCAAGGAACUUGGACAAUCAUGCAUGCUCAGUGACCCACAUGGUGCCCUGCAUGAACAUGUGGUACUUCCUGUUAAGAUGAAUGGCAUGGGUGGCAUUGUUGUUGAGGAAGUAUUGGUGGAGGCGAGUCCAUGCUGACAAGACAGUGCCGUCUGAGGACAUCGCAAGGUCCAGAAGACUACCGCCGAUCGUGGUGUAGAUCCACCCGAAGAUCCUGAUGUCGGUAGGUCGCAACUCGGGAUUGUCGACGUCAAGUUCAAACGUCCUGUUAAUGUGGUUGAGUACAACGCCACAAUGAAGGUGGAGAGGACGAACAACAAGAAAUUUGAAAUUUAUGAUAGUUGUUGGUGGACGGGUCGGGUUUGAAAGGGAUGUAAGAGUGGAUGUUGGUAUUAUGCACGGCAAUGGGGGCCUGAAGUUUGAAAAACUAAUUGGAUGGGUAAGAAGAGAGAGUUGAAGCAGUAGUGAUAAUGGGCACCAUGGCGCCGACAAAGAAACUAGAAGUGGUAUGCAAGGUUUGCACCCAAAGGGAGGUGGCGCUGUAAUUGGUAUGGGAGUAGCUCAAUAGCGAGCAGAUGACUCUGAUUACAAAGCUGAAUUAUGUAAUGCUUGCGUCAAGGGUUACAAGUGUUGAUGUACAACACAUCAGAGAAUGAAUAGAGAGAGUGCCCUAACUAGCUGGAACAUAUGGUAAGGCGUGCACAGGUGCACGAGCGAUCUUAGAUCCUAACCUCUAAGGACUAUGGUACAACACAAGCUUUGCUACACCUAGGGGGGGCUUACGAGGGGAGGGGGUCACGUAAUGAUUUGUCAAUUUCUCAUUGGUAAUUAGUGGGGGCGUGGGGCCCAUCUUGAAAUUCAGGGGGGUUUGAUUAGUUCAGAUUUCAGAAUGAAGUUAUGUAGGAUACAUAAGAUGCAUUACGUAGUUCUAGCAUGUUUGGUAGUACAGGUACAACGGUACAUACAGAUGAUGCAUUGUUUAGCAAUAUUAAAUUGAAAUCAUGUACUACGAGGGUUAGCAAAUGGCAAAGGCUAACAAUACACAAUCCGUGCAAAUGUGUUGGUCACUUUCAUGUAUAUAAUCCUUCUCAUGUCAAAGUGCAAGCAUUCAAUCAUUGGUGCACAAGGUAUAUACUAUAUUGAAGUCAACAACAGUUAAAUUAAACAAUAGGGAUCACACUCAAAAAGUAUCUAAGCGAUACAGAUCAGUAAAUUAGCUAGUUCUUUUUUUCUUUUGGGAGGUGGAGAUAGAGUGCCUGGGUAAUCCUCACGUUGGCUGCCUAUAAAUAGCAUCCUGCUCCAUCAUAUGGGAAUGCACCACUUAAGCAGCUAGCUAUAGCUCAUCUCCAUCCAUCGCAUCUGUUCUUCCUCAAUCCUCCACUACAACCACCCACCCAAUUCAUCAAUGGCUUCAUCUCUGAAGGUGGCCGCUGCCCUUGCCGUGGCCGUUUGCGUCGUGCUUGUGCUGAACAUGGGCCAGCCUGUGGCAGCCACAGAAUGCAAAGAUUGUCUCGCUGACUGUGUUCACGUUUGCGUCGACUACUCUGACACUGCAUGCAGCGGCAUCUGCACCGCCAAACCUCCUGCAUGCCAGUCAUGCAAGUACACGUCCUUCCUUACGUGUGGUGGCACAUGCUACAGCGCCUGUGCCCAUUUCUGCUAAAGCAUACAGUGGCUGUAAGCUGCCUGCGUGUGUUGGUACCUCGUUGUUGCUAAGCCAUGUAAUUAAGUGAACAAAUGCUAUUGCUCUGUGCAUAUGGCAAAUGUUCCUUCGUUCUAUUGUUCCUCUUCGUUUUAUCGUUCCCCUUUGUUUCAACCAUCAGUAAAUGUGCAUAUAUGUGUGCAAGUCAUGUAUAUAUGCUUUGUGCUUCUUUCUAUCAUGUGUCCGACGUGCUCAUGCUGGGGUGGAUAUCAGGUGAUACCACCUAUUACAUGCUCCCAUGCUAAAAAAAAUAAAAAGUCACAUUCGAUGUUUCAAAAAAAUUGAAAACGAUUAUGGAUGUUCACAAGACAUAUGUUUAUAACCCCUAAAAAUUCAGAUCAAAAUUCGAAACAUACAUUGAGAAACAAAAAAGACAAAUCUGUAUGUGAAUAGUGUCAUUCGUGACACGGUUCAUGUUUUGUCUUCUUUUGUACUAUUCAUUCUAGAUUUGUCAUUUUUGUUUCUCAAUAGGUAUUUCAAAUUUGGGUCUGAAUUUUUAUGGGUCGUAGACAUAUGUCUUGUGAACAUCCACAAAGUUUUUCAGAAUAUUUUUAAACAUCAAAAUGUGAUUUUUUUUGAAAAGUGAUAUCAUGGUAGCAUAUAAAAGGUGGUAUCACCUAAUAUUUUUCGGCUCAUACGGUCAUUAUAAAAUAGGGAUAAAUCCUUAUCUCAAUAACACAGUUACAAAAUACGUAGUUCAGCUCCCUCAUUCUAGGGGUUUGCCUCUCUCUCAGCGGCUGAUCUGACGGCGUAGAGCUCGCAUCUAAUUUCUUCAAAACUUAUCUUCUUCUGGGCUGAAACUUCAAGUAUCGUGCAAAAUGAAAAAAAAAUAGCAUACUAUGAAAAAAUAGUGUGGCCCUUAAAAUAUGCAAUUUGCGUGCUAUAGCGUGCUAUUAGCAAGACAUUGUACGCUGAGAUUUUAGCGAGGCAUUGCUUAGGACGCUAUAGCGUGCUAUUAGCAACGCUAUUUUUUCGCUCAACAUGCAUCACCAUGUCAAUUACAUGUAGAAAAUUUCACACCCUUUGGCACGAAAUAAGAAAAAUAAGUACCGUAGGACUGCAAAGUAAACCAAUAUAUAUGGAACUAAUUGAGUAUGCAAUUUAGGGAUACUUUAUGGUACUCUCCGUGGAACCCACCGAUAUAUUGCUAGCUCAUUUUAUAAUGAUCAAGAAUCAUUACUUUGAAUGAGUUUGUUGAGACCGAUGAAUUGUGGGUUUAUGAUCAAGUCUAUCUAUGAACAAUAUUUGAAUCUUCUCUGAAUUCUUUUAUGUAUGAUUGGUUAUCUUUGCAAGUCUCUUCGAAUUAUCAGUUUGGUUUGGCCUACUAGAUUGAUCUUUCUUGCAAUGGAAGAAGUGCUUAGCUUUGGGUUCAAUCUUGCGGUGUCCUUUCCCAGUGACAGUAGGGGCAGCAAGGCACGUAUUGUAUUGUUGCCAUCGAGGAUAACAAGAUGAGGUUUUCAUCAUAUUGCAUGAGUUUAUCCCUCUACAUCAUGUCAUCUUGCUUAAGGCGUUACUCUGUUUUCAUUAACUUAAUACUCUAGAUGCAUGCUGGAUAGUGGUCGAUGAGUGGAGUAAUAGUAAUAGAUGCAGGCAGGAGUCGGUCUACUUGUCUCGGACGUGAUGCCUAUAUACAUGAUUAUACCUAGAUAUUCUCAUAACUAUGCUCAAUUCUGGCAAUUGCUCAAUAGUAAUUUGUUCACCCACCGUAGAAUACUUAUGCUCUCGAGAGAAGCCACUAGUGAAACCUAUGGCCCCCGGGUCUAUCUUCAUCAUAUUAAUAUCCCAAUACUUAGUUAUUUCCUUUGCUUUUACUUUGCUUUUAUUUUACUUUGCAUCUUUAUCAUAAAAACACCAAAAAUAUUAUCUUAUCAUAUCUAUCAGAUCUCACUCUCGUAAGUGGCCGUGUAGGGAUUGACAACCCCUUAUCGCGUUGGUUGCGAGGAUUUAUUUGUUUUGUGCAGGUACGAGGGACUGGCGUGUAGCCUCCUACUGGAUUGAUACCUUGGUUCUAAAAAACUGAGGGAAAUACUUACACUACUUUGCUGCAUCAUCCCUUCCUCUUCGGGGAAAACCAACGCAGUGCUCAAGAGGUAGCAAGAAGGAUUUCUGGCACCGUUGCCGGGGAGGUCUACGCAAAAGUCAAUAUACCAAUUACCCAUCACAUACCCUUAUCUCCCGCAUUACAUUAUUUGUCAUUUGCCUCUCGUUUUCCUCUCCCCCACUUCACCCUUGCCGUUUUAUUCGCCCUCUCUCUCUAUCCUCCCUCUCUUUCUCUAUUUGCCUCUUUUUGCCCGCUUGCUUUUUGUUUGCUUGUGCGUUAGUUCGUUUGCUUGUCGUUAUGGCUAGUCCCUUACCUUCUGCCUCUAUGUCUGAAAUUGGGAAAAUUAUUGUCGAUAUGGACAAUAAUAAUAUCAUGAAAAAUUAUGAUGCUCCUGCUAAAGAACCACCCAUCUUACAUACAAAAAAAUCUGUGUUGGUUGUGGUAAUAUUAUUGGAAAAGGAGUUAUUCAAGAUUUCUUUACUUGUGCCGGUGCUUUACCUUCUAUGGGUAGUUCCAUCCUUCAUAGAAAUAGUAGUCUUGUGGACGCUAUGGCCAUGCUUGUAGUUGAACUUGAAAGACAAUUCAUGCACAUGCACCCUUGCAUACAAAGGAUUUUCCUAGAAUUUUCUAAUAUUGAACAUUUUCUGUUAAGCGUGCCGCUACUAUCUUUUUGGCUCAUGACUUUAGUUUCAUAAUAAAAGAAGCCAAAGAAAUCUUUGCGCAUUAUAGGGUGGACGCUUGUCGUCCUCCCAUAGAGGCCAUCCUCUUUGAUCAAGAAGAAAUAAUGCUUUUUCAAUCUCUAGACUAUGUUGCUUUCAAUGAAAAUCUUAGAAAAAAGGUUCCUACCAAUGUUUUAGUUGAUAGAGUUUCUGAACUUAAUGAUGAUUUGGCUAUUUGAAAUAAUGAACUAGGAUAUUCUCUUGAAUAUAGGCUCACAAAGUUUUAUCAAAAGAAUGCUUAAAAUGAUGAAUUUGUUGUGCAAUACGAAGGACCAACGGAGGAACCUAUACCUCCUAAGGUUCAUCUUGGGGACUUUUGCCCCAUUAAAUUUAGCCCUUUUGAUUACUUUUGCUUGCCUCAAAGAAAACUUGCCGUCAAACGUAGAGAAUAUGAAAUGAGUUUUAAUGAUCUAUCUUAUUACUAUGGCAAUACCUAUAUAUAUCCUUGCUUUUUAUGCCUAGCUAGGGGCGCUAAACGAUAGCGCUUGUUGGGAGGCAACCCAAUUUUAUUUUUAUUCCUUACUUUUUGCUCCUGUUUAGUAAUAAAUAAAUUAUCUAGCCUCUGUUUUGGUUGUUUCUUUGUGUUUAAGUAGUGUUUGUGCCAAGUAGAAUUGUUGGGAAGACUUGGGGAAAAUCUUGUUAAACUUACUGUAAAAAACAGAAACUUUAGCGCUCAUGAGAACUGCUGCCAUUUUUAUUUGGAAAGUGAUAUUUAGUUAAUUAUUUUUGCAGAUGAUUAAUAGAUAAAUUCCUCAAGUCCAGAAAUUUAUUUUAGAAUUUUUGGGGUUCCAGAUCUUGCGCUAGCUACAGAUUACUACAGACUGUUCUGUUUUUGACAGAUUCUGUUUUUCGUGUGUUGUUUGCUUAUUUUGAUGAAUCUAUGGCUAGUAAAAUAGUUUAUAAACCAUAGAGAAGUUGGAAUACAGUAGGUUUAACACCAAUAUAAAUAAAGAAUGAGUUCAUUACAGUACUUUGAAGUGGUCUUUUGUUUUCUUUCGCUAACGGAGCUCACGAGAUUUUCUACUUUGAGUUUUGUGUUGUGAAGUUUUCAAGUUUUGGGUAAAGAUUUGAUGGAUUAUGGAAUAAGGAGUGGCAAGAGCCUAAGCUUGGGGAUGCCCAUGACACCCCCAAGAUAAUCUAAGGACACCUAAAAGCCAAAUCUUGGGGAUGCCCCGGAAGGCAUCCCCUCUUUCGUCUACUUCUAUCGGUAACUUUACUUGGAGCUAUAUUUUUAUUCGCCACAUGAUAUGUGUUUUGCUUGGAACGUCUUGUAUGAUUUGAGUCUUUUCUUUUUAGUUUACCACAAUCAUCCUUGCUGUACACACCUUUUGAGAGAGCCAUACAUGAUUUGGAAUUUGCUAGAAUACUCUAUGUGCUUCGCUUAUAUCUUUUGAGUUAUAUAGUUUUGCUCUAGUACUUCACUUAUAUAUUUUAGAGCAUGGUGCUGGAUUUGUUUUAUAGAAAAUAUUGAUCACUCAUGCUUCACUUAUAUUAUUUUGAGAGUCUUAAAUAGCAUGGUAAUUUGCUUAAAAUCCUAAUAUGCUAGGUAUUCAAGAUUAGUAAAAUUUUCCUAUGAGUGUUUUGAAUACUAAGAGAAGUUUGAUGCUUGAUGAUUGUUUUGAGAUAUGGAGGUAAUAAUAUCGAAGUCGUGCUAGUUGAGUAGUUGUGAAAUUAAGAAAUGCUUGUGUUUAAGUUUGCAAGUCCCGUAGCAUGCACGUAUGGUAAACGUUAUGUAACAAAUUUGAAACGUGAGGUGUUAUUUGAUUUUCCUCCUUAUGAGUGGCGGUCGGGGACGAGCGAUGGUCUUUUCCUUCCAAUCUAUCCCCCUAGGAGCAUGCGCGUAGUGCCGAGGUUUUUCAUGACUUGUAGAUUUUUGCAAUAAGUAUGUGAGUUCUUUAUGACUAAUGUUGAGUCCAUGAAUUAUACGCACUCUCACCCUUCCAUCCUUGCUAGCCUCUUCGGUACCGUGCAUUGCCCUUUCUCACAUUGAGAGUUGGCGCAAACUUCGCCGGUGCAUCCAAACCCCGUGAUAUGAUACGUUCUUUCACACAUAAACCUCCUUAUAUCUUCCUUAAAACAGCCACCAUACCUACCUAUUAUGGCAUUUCCAUAGCCAUUCUGAGAUAUAUUGCCAUGCAACUUUCCACCAUUCCGUUUAUCAUGACACAUUCAUUAUUGUCAUAUUGCUUAGCAUGAUCAUGUAGUUGACAUAGUAUUUGUGGCAAAGCCACCGUUCAUAAUUCUUUCAUACAUGUCCUGGAAACCAACUCAUAAGUAUGAGUGUAUUAGGUAUACUAGUUGUGAACCCGUGCUGGACCUAAAUUCAUCCAUACAUACGCAUUAGGUAUAUUAGUCGUGAACCCGUGCAUUCGCACGGUCUAGCCUACAAAAGUGAGUUCUAAUGAUAAUUUUGUGUCCUAACUAACUUAAAUUCAUCAGGUGGCCUGCUUAGACCAUGCUUCUUCAUUAUUUUACGCUUUAUUUCAUAAAUUAUUCUAAGAAUGGUACCAAAUUAUAGUUUGUUGGUAAUAUUGAAAGUUCUACAAACAAAUUAGCAUUCAAAAAUUGAACUUAAAAAUGCAAUACUUUUUAAGUAUUACAUCACAUUGUUGGUAAUUUUUCUUAUCUAUCUGUUUUCAUUAUCCAACACUAUGCAAUUUUCCUUUCUAGAAUAUAUUUUCAAUUGCCAAAUCAUUUUUGUUGCGCCAUCACUUGCAAGUUGUUGGUGCACAUCAAAUCUGUCUGGUUUGUAUGUACAAAAGUAUUUAUAUAUGCUGUAGAAUAAGAAAGGUGACUGUAAUUGUCAGGAAGUCUUAAUAUUUUUUAGAUUUCUGCUCGUCGAUGGAUAUUCAAAGCCAUCAUUACCAUCAAAAUUAAAAUGACAUACCAAUUGUAAAAUUACGUAGUAUAUUUUCCCACCAUUACCACUUAGUGCUCAUGUAGCAAACUAAUGUGAUCGAGUUACCCUGUACAAAUUUCUCCCAUGUUUUUUUUUCAAAACCACGUGCCAUGGUAUCCUGUGCAACAGUCUUUGAUGAAGUAAGAAUAUAUAUUUCUCUACAAUUAAUACUUCUAGAGUUACCUAUUGAUGAAAAACAUUUGUUUGUACUGUUCAAUAACAACAUUAGGCACUUCAAUAAAAAGGAAUCAAAAGAGCACACAAAUCAAAUGUGUCCUUCUAUUUCAAUGGUAUCUUGUGUCCGUCUGGUUUUAAGAACUACUGGACAAAACGAUGUCAAAAUUUAAUGAACCCCAGAUCAAACCUAUUGUAGGCAAUUGUACAUGCUCCUUCUUGACUCUGAGGCCUGACACGAUAUAUCAUGACUACAGCGCAAAGGCGCAGAUUAGGACACGGAAACAACUGUUUUACGUCUUUUCAUUUAACUUUGUCUCCAUCUACAUCAAGGUCAAAGAAGGCCAGGUCAUGAUCAUGGUGGAAAAUUGAUUGUAUAUGUUAGUAACCAUAGAAGAAACUUCAUAGGAAUUUUAGUAGGUUCAAUCCUUCAACAUGAGAAGAACGAAUCUAAGAAGAAGAAACAACCUGCAGUAGAUCCAAUACUUGGAAACCAGGCGAAGUUUUGAAGGAGAACACAUCUUGUGCGUAUACUACUUUUCAUAUUCAGAUUUUUCUCCUUUGUUAUUUUUAUAUCAUGCAUAUACGCUGCCACAAAUCCAUCUCCUCCACGACUCAAUUCAGUAUCAUCAUCACCACACAGAUUUUACAUGGAUUCCACAUCCAUGUGGUGGAAGAUAGAUGCCAUGAUGGAAGAUAUAUUGAUCGGUAGAAAGAUAUGAUUACAACAAUCAAUAAUAACCUAUUUGCCUGGGACGUCCUAGCCUGUAUGCUGAUCACAUUUCACUGGUGUACACAUAUAUGUACGUAUCAAUGACAUGCAUGAUGGUUACGGUAUUGACAUGGAUGUUAGCCCAUUAUCUGCAGUUGAAUCUGCUUAUAUGCCAACUUACAUCCUAUUUUGUGGACGAUUGAGCUACUCCUGCUCGAAUGUGCAGCAACCGCCGCAGGGCAAGAAAAAUGGAGUUCUGGCAACUCACACGCUAAAGCUUGCAGGCAUGAGAAAUUGAGAUGAGACAAUGGAUGGAGGAUUAAUUACUACUACUGUGGUAGAGAACAAAGUUUUUCCAAUUUAAAGGAAAGACCGUGAUAAUGUAAGCUAUAAAUUGCAUUAUAUCUUUCCAAAUGCACCUGUUGUACAUACAACAUAGUGUACCCUCAGUAGAGCAACUGACACAUAUAUAAUUCGGUUCAUGUUUAUAUAUACACCUGUUGGUAUUGCCCAAUAAUAAAAUGCUAUGUAACUUAUGAAUCCUAUUUGUGCAUAACAGAUGAUUGCAUACCUCAGCAUGUAUGUUUGAAGAUCCUGAUUUUCCUGGUCUGUUUAACUGCUAUGUAACUUAUGAAGCAGGCUUGGCUUGUGGAACUACGCGUCCGGCAGUGCUUCCUUGAACAGUUCCAGGUUGUUCCAGAGCGCUAGGCUACCAAUGCUAUUUUUUUCUCACGCUAGUAAUUGUUUCAUAUAGUGUAUAUACUAUUCUGCAAAUAAGAAAGAAACAAAAUAGUGCACUAAUUAGUGUUAAGAAAACUCCAAAAUAAAUAACAUGAGAAGCUAAACAUCUAAUACCAUGCAUCUUGUCUCAGUAUUGGAAACUGUUUUUCGCUCCAAUUAGAGAAAAGCAUAGGCUGCACGUGCAGUUGUUUUGGGGAUGUUUCUUCAAACUGAAUCAUAACCUACGCCUUCUCAUCAUAGAAGUCCAAAACGCAGAACCAUAGCAUGGAUGUUGCUGUGCUGACCUAGUAUUUGGAUGCCAAAACGUGCUCUCCAGCCAGGACAGAGAUCCUCUCGUGGAGUCAUUCUACCAUGCAGCGACAUACAGGGUAUACUCUCAUCAUGCCAGCCUUACCUAAUCCUUGGUCUAUGUCACGACGACGGUUUGCCGCUAGGGCACUACCACGUGGGUUAAUAAUUGACUGGUUGAUGUGUCGCCAUGUCUUGGAUUGAUCCGUAUGGUCGAUGCAAUUCUGUGCUAGGCUCCCAGCCUCAAUCAAAUCUGCCAUUGCUACAACGAAGUUGGAGGCACACACAACCUACGAUGAGAAGAGGCAAUGGGGACCAGAGAUCAAUUGGAGUCUUUGGAAAUAAGAUGGCAGCAUGAUUGCAACAUUGCCUAUCAGGACUCGAGAGGAGGUAGCAGCGGGAGAUGGGCUUCACAUCUCAUCUCGAUCCCAAUCGUGAUUCAUGGCUUCGUGAGGAGGAAGGAGAGAAGGAGGGCUUCACAUCAGCUCCUGAUCCAAUCGUGAUUAUUGACUUGGUGAGGAGUAAGGAGAGAAGGAGAUGACGUUGGGAUUAUCUAAGGUGAUCUCGUGCUUUAUCCAAUGGUUAUAGAUGGAUCUAUAAAUGGCAGCUAGUUUUUUUUCAACUGAGACAUGCUACAAUUAGAAGGGUUGAUCAACAUCAUAAUAAGUCGGUCCCACCAGAUUAACGGCUCCUAGUUACUAAUUAACGUAUGAAUUUCUAGAGAGUCUAAAAUUAGUAUAGGUAUAGAUAUAGAUAUAGAUGGAUCUAUAAAUGGCAGCUAGUUUUUUGUUCAACUGAGACAUGAUACAAUUACAAGGGUUGAUCAACAUCAUAAUAAGUUGGUCCCACCAGAUUAACGGCUCCUAAUUACUGAUUAACGUAGGAAUUUCUAGAGAGUCUAAAAUUAGUAUAGGUAUAGAUAUAGAUAGAUAGAUAGAUAGAUAGAUAGAUAGAUAGAUAUAGACUUGCGGGGUUAACAAUUUUAAGCAUGCAUGUGUAGAUUACCUAUAAAAUAGUUGGACAACUAAGUUUUGGAGAACUUCUUGUGGAAGUACAUAUUAUGGUCGUCCCACGGUUAUACGAAGUGUGUAGUUGUUCUUGUCAUUGAGGGAUUUUUCGGAUUCCCUCCACUCCAGACUCAGCUUGCGGAGUUGGUGGACCUACAGGCUAAAAUAGUGGAGUUGGAAAGUAGGUGCACCGCAGAUCCCGUAAUUCCAUGGAGCCGGUGGAGAGCCGAACAGGGCCUGUGUAAGGACACCCACUCGGAGCAGGAUGCUUUAUAGCUGAGCUCGGAUGAUACUGCCGGCCCAAGUUAAUGACAGAGAAACUAUUGAUUAAACAAGCUUUAUCUACGGGAGCACAUCACCUUGUCGAUGCUAUGGAGGAACUUUAGGCCGAGACCACGAUUAGUCAUCACCUGAUAAAUAUCUACGAGGAACUUGAGCCGCUACCCGUACUUGGCGACAGACACGGUGCUCUCCUUGAGCAUGCGGUACUUGCCGCAAAGAUGGUUGGUGUGUGCAGUGUUAUCGUUGAGGAAGUACAGGUGGAGGCGAUUCCAUGUUGAUAAGGCAGUGCCGUCAUAGGACAUCACAAGUCUAGAAGACUAUCAUCAAUCAUGGUGUAGAUCCACAACAUGAUCCUGAUGUCGGUACGCUGCCACUCGGGGUCAUCAAUUUCAAGUUCAGAUGUCUCUUUAAUGUGGUUGAGUGCAUUGGAGGUGGUGAGGCCGAAUCAGAAGGAAUGCGCCAUUUAUGGUGGUUGUUGACACGUGGGUUGAGUUUGAAUGUGAAGUAGGACUGGAUGUUGGUACUAUGGACAGCAAUGGGGCCUGAAGCUGGUAACACUAGUUACAGUGGAGAUUAACUUACACUAGUUAUAGACACGCUAUCCUAGACUAUGUUACUACCUCCAUAGUGGGUAGUAAGGCUACUCAUAAUGGGGAGUAUCAUAUACUAGUAAAAGGCAUACGAUACUAGUGUAUGAUAGUACCUCCAUAGUGAAUACUAUCAUAGAGUAGUAUCAUAGAUGAUCAUAUUUAUUGCCAUGCAUGACACAAAGUAAGAUAGCAUUUAACAUGAUACAGUGUCUAUCUAUAUUACUUUAACCCCCUCUCUCUUCUUUAAUUGUCUGCCACAUAAGUAUGUUUGCUAGUCUCAAGUGCAUGAUACCAGUUAUGUUACCCCCACUAUGGCCAGUCAAACAUAUGUGUAGUGUCAUGUAAAGCUUCAUUUAUUAGGUAAUAGACUCAAUUUGUCUUGGUAUGUGUGAUGUUACUCAUAAUGAGUAACUAGCUAAGUUACUCAAUUUACCUCUCUCCUCAUUAACCGAUUUACUAAGCAAUUUUGGGGAGGUGACAUGGAAUUAAAUGAAGAAAGAGAGAGUUUAGUAUCAUAUCGUGAUACUAUAUCUUAAUAAAUGAUAUGCUAAUAUGUGUCAUGCAUGACAACAAAUAAGAUAAUAUCUAAGAUACUAAUACAUAAUAUUAUGCAUUAUAAAGGUAAUAUCAUAGAAUAGUAUCAUAUGCAUGAUAUAAACUUAUGAUACUACUCAUUACGGACAUCCUUAGCCACGCAAAUGUAUGGUUCACUUUGCUAUAAAUUAUCUUUCUGAUGUCAAAGUGCACGCAUUAUUGCAGAGUUCACUUGCGUACAAUUUAGGACAAAAAUUAAUGGUGCACAAGGUAUAUACUAUAUCGAAGUCAACCACAGUUAAUUAAGUGAUACGAAUAAGUACUAGCUAGGUUUUAUUUUUUGCGAGGUGGAGUACUAGCUAGCUAGCUAGGGUCGUCCUUGUGUUGGCUCCCUAUAAAGAGCAUCGUACUCCCUCAUAUGGACAUGUACCAGUUAAGCAACUAGCUAGCUCAUCUCCAUCGCAUCUGUUCUUGCUAUAUUCUCCACUAGAACCACCCAAUUCAUCAAUGGCUUCAUCUCUGAAGGUGGCCACCAUUGUUGCUGUUUGCAUCGUGCUCGUCCUCAACAUGGGUCACCCGGCGGCAGCCACAUAAUGCGAAGAUUGUUUGGGCGCUUGUGUUGCAAUUUGCAUUGCCUACGCUGAAACGACGUGCAGCGGCAUCUGCACCGUCAUAACUCUUGCAUGUCAGGAAUGUAAGGACGCAGCCUUAAUUGAGUGUGGUGCAACAUGCUACGCGGUUGUACCCUCUUCUGCUAAACCGGCCGAUUGUGCCCUGUUGCUCGCUGUAAGCUACGUGCAUGCUUGUGUUCGUUUUUGCUAUUAUAAGCCAUAUAAAUAAGCGAACUAAUGCCUUUGAUGUGUGCAUGUGGCAAAAGUUCCUUCGUUUUAUUGUACCCCCUCGUUUGAACCAUCAGUAAAUAUACUUGUGUGCACGUUGUGUAUGUUUUGUGCUUCUUCGUGUGUCCAACGUGUUGUCAUACUCAAACAAUAGGGAUAUAUCCUUAUCAAGAGAAUGCAGUUCCAAAGUAGUAUGUAGUUUCGCUUCCCUCGCGGUAGGGUAUCUUCUUUCUCUCAGCGCCUCAUAGUGGCUAAAGAUUGCAUCUAAUUCCUUCACAACUUGUCUUCUUCCAGCAUAAAACUCCGUCCUAAAUUUUCUAUGAUUUUUCUUCUUCACCCAAAAUACAAGUUUCCUUUGCUGUGCUUGAUCGUUCAUGAAUUAUUCCAACUACUUUCAUGAAAGACUAGUUUAAGACCAUGAACGAAUUAAUGUUAAGUGUUCGCUUAUUAUAUUGAUGCCAACUCCAUUAUAUGUAGAAGAGUUGACACCAUGGGCCCGCAAAGUAAACCAAUAUAUCGAAUUAAGCAUGCAGUUUAUGAAUACUUAGUGUGAAGUCUCCGUGGUAGCGACCGAAAUAUUGCAAGCGCGAUUUUCUAAUGCUAAGGAAUCAUUACUUUGAACAAGUUUGUCGGUGCUAGUUGCAUGUAGGCUAAUACAUAGUGGCAUUCAUGAGGAAUUGUGCCAAUCAAUGGAUAACUUCUUAGUAGUCGCAUAUUAUUCCGUCCGUCUGAAAAUAUUUGUCGAAAAAAUGAAUAAAAAUGGAUGUAUCUAGGAGUAAAAUACGUUAGAUACAUCCAUUUCAACAACAAUAUUUCUGGACCGCUCAUUGAUAUGGUCUAAUCUAACAAGAACUACUAUUACAAGUACUUAUUUUGCAGCUAUGCACACCUGCUUCAUCGAGCAGUUUUACAUUCGCGGGGUGGCUAAUAAAAUGAGGGGUCCCGGUGUGCCCUAGUCGUAGUUGCCGACAUGCACGGGUCGGCCGCUACGUACUUUCUUGCGUGUAAAGAGUGACCAAUGACACAGAUCGGUCCAGGACGUCGUCGCCAUCUCCAGGGAACGGCCGUCCACUAUAUCCUCCACCACCCAUACGGCCGGAAUAUAAGGAUCUUAGAAAACCUAUACAGCUGACAAUACCCGACGCAGCCCGUAUCCCGAAGGAGAUGUUGCGUGUAAGGAAUGAUUGUAUUCAACUAUUUGAAGUUUUAAUAUAUGGGCGGGUUACAAAAACAACUUGAGCAUAGCACUAGAAAACACUAGGGGAUGGCAAGUUUCAUACAUUCGGAAAAAAAAUUCCCAUCAUCACCUAGAUACGAUAAGCCUAAACGGUAGAUAAAUUCAUUAGCAAAGGCAUCGGCGGCCGGAGGGGAGUGGUCGUCGUUGCUUGCCAUGCCACUAUCGUACAACAACAAGGAGGAGAUGAUCACGACCAGAUGUCGGGCGACAUAGACCUGCUCCGCUACGAGUCAAGUGGCUUUUGCCCGGGCGGCCACCCUCUUGCAGCGGUGGCACCGGGCAUUCGUCUCCGCCGAGGUAUUUGACCGGAGGAUGACGUCGCGGUGAACUCCUUUGGGUCGGCCGGGGUGGACCUGCAGGACCCGCAGCCGAUGCGGAAGGAACCGGCUAUCUAGCAGGCCAACUACCUCACACAGCGAGCAGCUCACACCUCCGAUUCGUACAUCUUCCGCCGCGGGCUUGGCGGUGCGAGAACGAGCACCCAUCGUCCGAAAGGAGCAUGGCCAAUAGUGGUAGGGGAGGGCCUUUGAGGGUGCAGAUCUAGACCGACGAGGACCUCGAUAGGUCAGCGCGGUCGGCUACAUUGCCUCGCCGGGCUACUGGGGACAUUGCAGAGCUCGAGCUCCCGCCCCUGUCCAUCUGCGACGGGCGAAGCGCGAUGCGAAGGGCGAGGUCCUCGUUGUCCCAAUCCGACUGCAGCAAGCCAUCCCAGUCGAUGGGAUCCGCCUCGUAGCCAGAUAUGCUGCCACGGUCGCUACGAGAACCAGCCACAAUUGUCUGGAAAGGGGAAGGGGCAGGGAUGGGAGCGAACAUGAGUGGAGUGGAAGGGGAGCGGAGAGGCCAAGAUUGAGCUAUGUUUGCGCCCCGAUGGGGAUGGGGUGGUCCAUCGUGUGCCGAUCUGACGUGGCUGCCGCAUCCAGUCCGCCCAUAUCCACCAUAGAUACGGGCUAGAUUUGGAGCUAUUGUUCAGCCCGGCUGCUUGGGCUAAUUAUGUGGGAUCCGGUUGGGUGUCAAUUUGCGGCUCGGACAGCGAUCAGACUGUCCGCACAGACGUUUGUGGCGGUCUGAGGGCUCCCCUUGUACAUGCUAUAAGGGCCAGUUCUUUUGAGCCAUGGCUUCUACAUAAGCUGCGGUGGAAAUAAGCCCUUGAUAAGCUGCAGUGGAAAUAGGCCCAUGAAAUUAAGCCAUCCAGUUCUUUUGUGUGAGCUUAUUUUCCAAGUUCUCUGAUGAAAGUCUGCAAUACCCCUAAAAUGUCCAAAAACUAGGUGCACAUGAGCACUUCCCUUCCUGAAGAUAUGUCAACAGAAAACAGCUAAUAGUCGAUGUGGGCGGCGGCGGCGGUGGUACAGGAGGCAACGGCUGGACGAACUGCGGAACAUGAGGCAGCGGUCGGAUUGAACAAGCUGCUGCCUGUUCGGCCUCAAGUCUAGCUGUGCUCGGCGGCCUCGUGCUCGGCGGUGUGCUGUAGGGUACGGCUAGCGGCGGCGACAGAACGAAGGAGCUGGCUGGGCUGGGCUUGGCUUGUGCCUCUCAGCAGAAAAUAAGGACGCAUGGUAUAGAAGCUAGGCUGGGCUUGUGCCUCUCAGCACAAAAGCUCCCAAAAUCCCAUGCGAACUUAUUUUUGGGAUUUUAUAUGAUAACUAUGUAUGAUAAUGCAUCAAUUAAUCACAAAAUAAUUCAUUUAUUAUUUUUAAAUGCAAAUAUAACUAUUUUGUGCCCAAGGGAGGUGGGGUCAGACCCUGGCCUCGGCAUUCUAAUCCGGUUCUGGCAGGCCUAACCAUUUUAAUAUAUUUAUUUAUUUAUUCCAUGACUAAGCCGUUUUAAAUACUUGGUCAGCAAUCUCUAACCAAUGAUAAGAUCACAAGACAAGGCCUAGCGAACUACUAUCUAUUUUCGUAGUCAACCGUGCCGCUAGUCAAACUACUCCAAUCCAGUUAUAUUGAUGCGUGCUCAUCACCAGUUCACCAUGUUUUAAAGCAACCAAGUUAUCUUUCUUUUUUGCGGAAAAGCUCCGUCUUUAUAUUAAAAGACUUCCAACAUUCUGGAAAACAUAUUGUUGAUGUGGUUAAGAAGCAAUUAAACAAUACUUAGUGGGCAAUCUCGGUGACAGCAAUCCAAAUAUUGCUACUAGUUUUCUAAUGCAAAGGAGUUGUUGCUUUCAAUAAGUUCGGUACUAGUUGCAUUGUUGUCUAAUAGUAUUAUGUGACGUUGGUAAGAAAUUACGUCCAGCAAAGGAUAACAUCUUAAUUAGCAUUAAGAGCUAGAGCCUUGCCUAUUUUUUCCUAGAAACUGGGACAACGCUGUCGCGUACGUACGGAUUGAUUAAGUAGUAAUUAUUCUGUAUUUUUUUCAUUGAUAUAUAGGAAUGGAUCAGUGUAUAUGUGGAGUGUACACAAUCCCUUGAUGGAACUAGGCCGUUUUAAGUACUUGGUCAGCAAUAUCAAACUAAUGAUAAGAACUCAAGACUGGGCAUCCUCUACAACACUAAGCUCUCUAGUUUUAAUGAGCCUACAUUCAAUUGAUGUAUCCAAUUAAAAUUGGGUCAUCCGAUUUUAACCGAGCCAACAAUUUCUCAAAGCUCCACGAUUCUAUUCUUCUAUACUAU
rnacentral:lncRNA from 1 species